rnacentral:rRNA from 1 species
UUUGUCUUUUAAUUGUGGACUGGAAUGAAAGGUUAGACUAAAUAUUUUUGUCUUAUGCUGAAACAUUGAAAUUUAUAAUUUAGUAAAAAAGCUAAAAUUUUUCUUAAAGACGAGAAGACCCUAUCAAGCUUUACAAUUCUAUUUUAAUAUCAAAUUAUGAAAACAAUUGUUUAACUGGGGCAGUGAACAAGAUUAAUCUUGUUUAAUAAUUGUGAUUUAUAAAUCUUGAAAAAUCAAUAAAUUUUUAAACAAAAACAAGUUACUGUAGGGAUAACAGCAUAAUUUUUUUAAAGAGUUCUCAUCAUCAAAAAAUUUUGUGACCUCGAUGUUGGAUUAAGAGACCUCUUCCACGCAAUAGUGGGAAAAGGAAGUCUGUUCGACUUUUAAUUUCUUCCA